rnacentral:lncRNA from 1 species
ACUUUUUGCUGUCAUACAUGUAAUCUCACUUAUACCACAAGCAUGCAAUAACCACUAUAUUGUUGUGACUUCACACUCAGGAUUGUUGUUGCAAUUUUUUGAUAUUAGAAUAUGGAUACAGUUAAGCACUGUUAGUAAAAAUCUGAUGAUUUUUGGAAAUAGGGUUAGAGUAUAAUGAAGAAAACGAAUUUUUCUAAGAAACCUUUUAUGGAUUGCAAAGAAUUUUGUAACAAACUACUAUUUUUACUUGGAUACUUCAGGAAUUACUCCCACAACUCCCUACAGCCCCCUAACAGGAAAUAGUAGGUGAGAUACAUGGUACAAACUUUCAUGUUAAAAAGGAAAAAAAAAACACAUAACGCUUAUGAUGUGCAUAAGCAAAAUUCUUUUCCAAGAAAAACACAGUCACAAAGCACUAUGUAAUGGAAUAGAAUUUUGCUUAUGCACAUCAUGAGCAUUAUGUGUUUUCCAAGAAAAACAACAUACAAAAAUUUCUGCACUUGAAUUUAGUUAUGAUUUAUAAAACAGAGUACAUGAAUUCAUAUACUUUCAAAUUCAUUCAAUAGCCGAUUAAAUUACUGGAACUCGGAAAGAGAAUCACAACUAAGGAGAAUAUUUUUUCUGCAAGGUUAUUUAAUCUAGUUAUUGAAUGCAUUGAUAAUUUGCUUUGUCUUAUUUGACAACAAAAGACAAAUUCGAGCUGCUUCUCUAGAGAAUUAUAACAGUACAAUUCACUUACACAAUACUAGAAUAUUCUCUUUCAACCAAAUGGUAGCUACAGAUUAAACAGAAAGAGGAGAUCCAUACAAGAAACAAGAACACAAAGGAAACAUAGACUCCAUAAAUUGGA